AGGAGCAUGAUACAGCUCUCUCCUGGUAGGCUCUGCCAGUGCCUGACAAAUACAGAAGUGGAUGCUCACAGCCAUCCAUUGGACUGAGUACAGGGUCCCCAAUGAAGCAGCUAGAGAAAGGACCUAAGGAGCUGAAAGGGUUUGCAGCCCCCUAGGAGGAACAACAAUAUGAACUAGCCAGUAACCCCAGAACUCUCAGGCACUAAACCACCAACCAAAGAGUACACAUUGUGGGACUCAUGGUUCCAACUGCAUAUGUAGCAGAGGAUGGCCUAGUCAGACAGCAUUGGGAGGAGAAGCCCUUGGUCCUGUGAAGGCUUUAUUCUCCAAAGUGGGGGAAUGCCAGGGCCAGGAAGCAGGAGUGGGUAGGUUGGUGAGCAGGAGAAUGGGGUCAGGGAGAGAUAAGGGUAGUGUGUUUUUCGGAGGGGAAACCAGGAACAGGGAUAACAUUUGAAAUGUAAAUAAAAUAUCCGAUUCAAAAAAUAAAAUAAAAUAAAAGUAUUGGUAGUUCCACUUAUCAAAGAUACUAGCAGGACUCAUGAAGAGAAAGAACAAUAAAAAUGUGUUAGAGAUGGGAGAUGGUAGGUCUGGAUGGGGAUGGUGGUUGAAGACGACACAGUGGGUUUCUGUAGGGUGUUAGCUGCUUCUUCGUGUAUUUUCACUGUGACUGUCAAGCCUGCCUCUUACAACACUUUCUUCUGGUGACUAUUCAGUCUCACUGAGUGGGAAAUUUUUGUAGCUGCUGUGUUUCUUAAGCUCCUUGUGAACUUUUCUAUUCAAUAACUUAGGUUUGAUCAGGACCAUGUAUGUAAGGUGUUUCUACCACUGGACUUUUCCUGGGCUCCCAACAAAUGAGAACUCUAUGCAAAGUUGAUCUGUCUCAGUAUCCUCUUGAGCCACCCAGUUUGUCUAAAACUUAACCUAAGACUGAUGAGAGUGGGAAGAACAAUAUAAAUGUAAAUAGCUUCAGCUUCAGUUGAGCAAAGGAGCAGUUAGCAAGUCAGGGUGGGAAAAUAGAGACAUUCAAAGAACAGUGAAAUGUUAAGAGUAUUCUGAGCUUCAUUCCAUUAUUUAAAAUCUCUAGCCCUAGUUUCUAUACUUAGGAGGCUGUGUGAUAGUUACUUCUUUAACAAAGUUAGUAUAAAAAUGCAAUCUACUUCAUAGGAUAAUUGCAGGAAUUAAAUUGGAAUUAAAUAUAAAUCACAGGCCUAUUAAAUAUAGUAAAUAUUUCAUCUAUUAAUCCCAUAAAUAGUAACAGUGACAUGUAUAAAUCCAUAUGUCUUGCACAAGGUGGGAUGUGUUGAGUUACUGAGUGUGAUAUAAAUAACACUGUGACUCCUAACAGCAGCAAGAGUACUAGUGCUUCACAUUUGUCAACUCUGUGUAGUAAGAAUGCCCUACAUUCAAGUCAUUUGUAAAGGUUUCUAUCUUCACAAAAAAAAAAAAAGAUUUUUAGUAAACUUGAGGAUAGGAAUUUACAUGGAAUCAAUGAAAAUUGUUGACAAUAAAAUAAACCUGCUAGAAUGGUCUAAAGAAUUGUUUCCAGGGCUGAAGCUAGAGAUGCUGAGGACUAGGAAUAUAAAGAAUAAGGGGAUAACCUGAAGAUGAUGUCAUAGAGGGUUACCUGAUGCUACCUACCUAGAGAUAGACAGAUACUCACAGAUGAUCUGUAGGUCUAGUAACCAGAGCCAGUACAUUCAAACAGGAUAAGCACAGAAGUUAAGAAAGAGGAGAACCAAGUCUACUAAAACCUGAAUUCACUUCAGAUGGUUCAUAGAUAGGUUGUUGGAAAACCUAACUUUGAAAAUGAAGAAACUUCCUUCUACAUGCUCAGUAACUUAGCUCAUAUUUCUAGACCUUGGAGUUUGACCUGAAAGAGUCUGAUUUUAUUUUUAAGGGAUUGGUUCACUGCAUAAAAGUAAAUUGUUCACUUAAGAGACUUAGUCUUUUGCCUUUCUGACUUCUCUCUCUUGCUAUUGACAGGUAAAUGGCCAAGAUCUGAAGAACCUGCUGCACCAAGAUGCUGUAGACCUCUUCCGUAAUGCGGGAUGUGCUGUGUCCCUGAGAGUACAGCACAGGGUAGGUAUUACCUGCACCUGGAUAUGGGACAGUAGGCUUUUACACUGUUCUUGUGAAUAGGUUUGUAAGCUUCAAAGUCUGCUUUACUUUAUCUUCUGUUAUGAUUGCCUUUGUCAGCAUAGGCAGGAGUCCUUUAGGAUUUCUGCCUAUCAGUAAAAGAAGUAUGUAACCCAAGUUCUACCUUCAGUGGAUUAAAGUUUCAUUAAGUGAAAAUGGAAAGAAAGUAGAAUUACUUGGUAAGAGGCCAAAUGAGGAUACAGAGGCUGAAGAAGAUUGAAAGGAGCUAGUGUAAACAAACAAACAAACAAACAAACAAAAAACCAAACCCC
rnacentral:lncRNA from 1 species